AGAGUUUUUUCCUGGCUCAGGAUGAACGCCGGCGGUGUGCCUAAUACAUGCAAGUCGUACGCACUGGCCCAACUGAUUGAUGGUGCUUGCACCUGAUUGACGAUGGAUCACCAGUGAGUGGCGGACGGGUGAGUAACACGUAGGUAACCUGCCUCGGAGCGGGGGAUAACAUUUGGAAACAGAUGCUAAUACCGCAUAACAACAAAAGCCACAUGGCUUUUGUUUGAAAGAUGGCUUUGGCUAUCACUCUGGGAUGGACCUGCGGUGCAUUAGCUAGUUGGUAAGGUAACGGCUUACCAAGGCAAUGAUGCAUAGCCGAGUUGAGAGGCUGAUCGGCCACAAUGGAACUGAGACACGGUCCAUACUCCUACGGGAGGCAGCAGUAGGGAAUCUUCCACAAUGGGCGCAAGCCUGAUGGAGCAACACCGCGUGAGUGAAGAAGGGUUUCGGCUCGUAAAGCUCUGUUGUUGGAGAAGAACGUGCGUGAGAGUAACUGUUCACGCAGUGACGGUAUCCAACCAGAAAGUCACGGCUAACUACGUGCCAGCAGCCGCGGUAAUACGUAGGUGGCAAGCGUUAUCCGGAUUUAUUGGGCGUAAAGCGAGCGCAGGCGGUUGCUUAGGUCUGAUGUGAAAGCCUUCGGCUUAACCGAAGAAGUGCAUCGGAAACCGGGCGACUUGAGUGCAGAAGAGGACAGUGGAACUCCAUGUGUAGCGGUGGAAUGCGUAGAUAUAUGGAAGAACACCAGUGGCGAAGGCGGCUGUCUGGUCUGCAACUGACGCUGAGGCUCGAAAGCAUGGGUAGCGAACAGGAGUAGAUACCCUGGUAGUCCAUGUCGUAAACG
rnacentral:rRNA from 1 species